UAGGGAAUCUUCGGCAAUGGACGAAAGUCUGACCGAGCAACGCCGCGCUAGUGAAGAAGGUUUUCGGAUCGUAAAACUCUGUUGUUAGAGAAGAACAAGGACGUUAGUAACUGAACGUCCCCUGACGGUAUCUAACCAGAAAGCCACGGCUAACUACGUGCCAGCAGCCGCGGUAAUACGUAGGUGGCAAGCGUUGUCCGGACUUAUUGGGCGUAAAGCGAGCGCAGGCGGUUUCUUAAGUCUGAUGUGAAAGCCCCCGGCUCAACCGGGGAGGGUCAUUGGAAACUGGGAGACUGGGGUGCGGAAGGGGAGAGUGGAAUUCGAUGUGUAGCGGGGAAAGGCGUAGAUAUAUGGAGGAACACCAGUGGCGAAGGCGGCUAUCUGGUCUGUAACUGACACUGAGGCUAAAAAGCGUGGGGAGCAAACAGG
rnacentral:rRNA from 1 species